UCUUUGAAUUCCUUACUUUAGUGAGAGUUGGUUAGAUACAUAGCUUUAUUGUAUUUGAAAACUACAGAUUAGAUAGAUUUAAUUUUUUAUUGUGAAAGUGAGCACUCAAAAUGUUUGAUGAAAUGUCUCAAUAUGAAAAAUGGAUGACUUUGUGGUCUUUAGGAUCACCAACAUUCAAUUGAAUACAUUACAAUNNNNNNNUCAGAACUUCAAAAGUUUGUGUUAGUAACACUACCAUAAUGCUUUGGGUUCCACUAGCAAGUAACCAUAACUGAUAUUUAUAGAAUGCCUUAAGACUCAUUUUUAUUGCUCAUUGUGAUUUUCUGUUCCGAACUGAUAUUUAUUUUAUCACAUAACCUACAUCAUGGAUUAACCUUUAGAGGGACACCUAAUCAUCCUAACAUGUAGUUGUCUACUGGUGUUGUUUGUAUGGACAAAGCUAAUGACACAAGUAAGGAGUUCAAGAGGAAAGUCUAGAGAGACAAUAUGGCAAUAUAGUUUUACCUGUUUUAUGCUUCAUAGGUUUCGGUAAAGAAUAAACAGACUCUUCUCUUUAAUGGCAAAAAGGGAUUUGCUUUGCUACUCUAUGAUAGUUAGAUGGU
rnacentral:lncRNA from 1 species